rnacentral:rRNA from 1 species
UGAGGAAUAUUGGGCAAUGCCCGCAAGGGUGACCCAGCAACGCCGCGUGGAGGAUGAAUGUCGUAAGAUUGUAAACUCCUGUUAGAGGGGAAGAAUAGUACCGGUUGGACCGGUAUAUGACUGUACCCUCAGAGAAAGCCCCGGCUAACUACGUGCCAGCAGCCGCGGUAAUACGUAGGGGGCAAGCGUUGUCCGGAUUUACUGGGUGUAAAGGGCGCGCAGGCGGGAUAAAAAGUCAGUGGUGAAAUCCUACAGCUUAACUGUAGAACUGCCUUGGAUACUUGUAUUCUUGAGUUCGGGAGAGAGAGACGGAAUUCCAGGUGUACGGGUGAAAUACGUAGAUAUCUGGAAGAACACCAGUUGCGAAGGCGGUGUCUUGGUCCGACACUGACG